UUCUUAUCAAGAGUGGUGGAGGGAUUAGGCCCAAUGAAACCCAGCAACCGGCGGAUGCAUUCGCAAGGUGCUACAUCCUACAGGACAUUUUGUUCUGAAAGAUAAGAA
rnacentral:ncRNA from 2 species